GGUGAACGCUGGCGGCAUGCCUUACACAUGCAAGUCGAACGGUAACAGGUUAAGCUGACGAGUGGCGAACGGGUGAGUAAUACAUCGGAACGUGCCCAGUAGUGGGGGAUAGCCCGGCGAAAGCCGGAUUAAUACCGCAUACGACCUAAGGGUGAAAGGGGGGGAUCGCAAGACCUCUCGCUAUUGGAGCGGCCGAUGUCAGAUUAGGUAGUUGGUGGGGUAAAGGCCCACCAAGCCGACGAUCUGUAGCUGGUCUGAGAGGACGACCAGCCACACUGGGACUGAGACACGGCCCAGACUCCUACGGGAGGCAGCAGUGGGGAAUUUUGGACAAUGGGCGCAAGCCUGAUCCAGCCAUGCCGCGUGCGGGAAGAAGGCCUCCAGGUUGUAAACCGCUUUUGUCAGGGAAGAAAUCCUUUGGGUUAAUACCUCGGGGGGAUGACGGUACCUGAAGAAUAAGCACCGGCUAACUACGUGCCAGCCGCCGCCGUAA
rnacentral:rRNA from 1 species